GGUUAAGCGACUAAGCGUACACGGUGGAUGCCCUGGCAGUCAGAGGCGAUGAAGGACGUGCUAAUCUGCGAUAAGCGUCGGUAAGGUGAUAUGAACCGUUAUAACCGGCGAUUUCCGAAUGGGGAAACCCAGUGUGAUUCGUCACACUAUCAUUAACUGAAUCCAUAGGUUAAUGAGGCGAACCGGGGGAACUGAAACAUCUAAGUACCCCGAGGAAAAGAAAUCAACCGAGAUUCCCCCAGUAGCGGCGAGCGAACGGGGAGCAGCCCAGAGCCUGAAUCAGUGUGUGUGUUAGUGGAAGCGUCUGGAAAGGCGUGCGAUACAGGGUGACAGCCCCGUACACAAAAAUGCACAUACUGUGAGCUCGAUGAGUAGGGCGGGACACGUGGUAUCCUGUCUGAAUAUGGGGGGACCAUCCUCCAAGGCUAAAUACUCCUGACUGACCGAUAGUGAACCAGUACCGUGAGGGAAAGGCGAAAAGAACCCCGGCGAGGGGAGUGAAAAAGAACCUGAAACCGUGUACGUACAAGCAGUGGGAGCACGCUUAGGCGUGUGACUGCGUACCUUUUGUAUAAUGGGUCAGCGACUUAUAUUCUGUAGCAAGGUUAACCGAAUAGGGGAGCCGAAGGGAAACCGAGUCUUAACUGGGCGUUAAGUUGCAGGGUAUAGACCCGAAACCCGGUGAUCUAGCCAUGGGCAGGUUGAAGGUUGGGUAACACUAACUGGAGGACCGAACCGACUAAUGUUGAAAAAUUAGCGGAUGACUUGUGGCUGGGGGUGAAAGGCCAAUCAAACCGGGAGAUAGCUGGUUCUCCCCGAAAGCUAUUUAGGUAGCGCCUCGUGAAUUCAUCUCCGGGGGUAGAGCACUGUUUCGGCAAGGGGGUCAUCCCGACUUACCAACCCGAUGCAAACUGCGAAUACCGGAGAAUGUUAUCACGGGAGACACACGGCGGGUGCUAACGUCCGUCGUGAAGAGGGAAACAACCCAGACCGCCAGCUAAGGUCCCAAAGUCAUGGUUAAGUGGGAAACGAUGUGGGAAGGCCCAGACAGCCAGGAUGUUGGCUUAGAAGCAGCCAUCAUUUAAAGAAAGCGUAAUAGCUCACUGGUCGAGUCGGCCUGCGCGGAAGAUGUAACGGGGCUAAACCAUGCACCGAAGCUGCGGCAGCGACGCUUAUGCGUUGUUGGGUAGGGGAGCGUUCUGUAAGCCUGUGAAGGUGUGCUGUGAGGUAUGCUGGAGGUAUCAGAAGUGCGAAUGCUGACAUAAGUAACGAUAAAGCGGGUGAAAAGCCCGCUCGCCGGAAGACCAAGG
rnacentral:rRNA from 1 species